rnacentral:misc_RNA from 1 species
UCUCCGUAGGUGAACCUGCGGAGGGAUCAUUGCAGAGUUCUCGCCCCUCCGGGUAGAUCUCGCACCCACUGUGAUUGAUACUGUGUUGCUUUGGCGAGCCGCCGGGCCCUGCCCGUCCGCCGGCCCCGGCUGCCGCGCGCCCGCCAGUGGCUCCGCAAACUCUGAAUGGCAGCGUCGUCUGAGUACUAUAUAAUAGUUAAAACUUUCAACAACGGAUCUCUUGGUUCUG